AUUGAACGCUGGCGGAAUGCUUUACACAUGCAAGUCGAACGGCAGCACGGACUUCGGUCUGGUGGCGAGUGGCGAACGGGUGAGUAACAUAUCGGAACGGACCCAAUAAUGGGGGAUAACUAAUCGAAAGGUUGGCUAAUACCGCAUACGCCCUACGGGGGAAAGCAGGGGAUCUUCGGACCUUGCGUUAAUGGAGCGGCUGAUAUCUGAUUAGCUAGUUGGUGAGGUAAAGGCUCACCAAGGCGACGAUCAGUAGCUGGUCUGAGAGGACGACCAGCCACACUGGAACUGCGACACGGUCCAGACUCCUACGGGAGGCAGCAGUGGGGAGUUUUGGACAAUGGGCGCAAGCCUGAUCCAGCCAUUCCGCGUGAGUGAAGAAGGCUUUCGGGCUGUAAAGCUCUUUCGCAAGGGAAGAAAACUUACUUUCUAAUAAAGAGUGAGGUUGACGGUACCCUGAUAAGAAGCACCGGCUAACUACGUGCCAGCAGCCGCAGUAA
rnacentral:rRNA from 1 species